UACAGAGGGUGCGAGCGUUAAUCGGAAUUACUGGGCGUAAAGCGUGCGUAGACGGUUAUUUAAGUCGGGUGUGAAAGCCCCGGGCUCAACCUGGGAAUUGCAUUCGAGACUGAAUAGCUAGGGUACGGUAGAGGGAAGUGGAAUUUCCGGUGUAGCGGUGAAAUGCGUAGAUAUCGGAAGGAACACCGGUGGCGAAGGCGGCGACCUGGGUAGAUACUGACGCUGAGGUGCGAAAGCGUGGGGAGCAAACAGG
rnacentral:rRNA from 1 species